CACCAAACAAUAAUAUUUUACCAAACCCGUCCAGAUUCAAGAGAAAAAGUUCAACCACCCACACAUGCAUUAUAAAACCUAAUACCAUGGUUCUUGCUUUUCUGCAGAGCGAACCGUUUCUUAAUUAGCUUUCUUAGCUUGUUGCAAUUCAAGCUCACCAUCCAUGGUAGCGGUUGGUCCGUCCAACUUUCAUCAAAGAGACAAGAGCUCACAACUUUCAUCCAAUGGAACCACAAGUGACGACACAAUGAGGAACAUUUACACACUGACCCCUUGGGUGCCAAACUGGGGGCCGCCAUUGUUUGUGUGGAGUUUGGCAGCCUUGGAAGUUGGGCAGGGAGGAUUUGGAAGGUGCUGGUCUUUACGGAGAUAUCAAGCAUGGAAUGGAAUGGAGGUGCAAUAACAAUCUGAUCGCCUGACUUCAAAUCUGGACGGUCCAUUUAAUCUUGAAGCAUUUCCAAGCACGAGGGACAUUAUUAAACUUCAUGGUAAACGCAUGGGUGGCCAUCCUCACAUUGCAAGCAGGUUAGGAGGAUGCCUAGGAAGUUGGGGGAGAUGCCGAGCACCGAGACAAUGAGACGGACAUUACUAGGCCAGAAAAAUUACAGUGGCGAUUUAAGUUGCAUAUCUUA